rnacentral:misc_RNA from 1 species
GGAACUUGUGAGAGUUCUUCCCAGCACGGAGGAUGAGGUCAAUGUCGCUUGUUUCCAUCCUUCGGUUGGUGGUGGCCUUGUCUAUGGAACCAAGGAAGGGAAGUUAAGGAUUCUCCAAUAUGACAAUUCGAACAGCCUGGGUCGCACAAUUCCCUGUUCUCCUGUCGAGAACAUGCUCGAGGUCCCAACGUAUGCUUUAGAAGGCUAGUAACUUGUGAUGAUAAGAAAAGGGUCUCGUAUCAUACUAGUCCGCUAUGGCCAGCGCCUGCAAAGAUGAGUGCUUUUGCCGAGGACAUUGAAACCUUGAACCUUAAUGCAGUACAGCUACAGCAGUAUAUUGAAGAGGUUUAUACUUGAGCUUGUCUAACUUAUAGUCACUACAGAUUUAAGACUUAUGGAACUUUCAGGGACCGAAAGAUUCACAGAACGUCUCGCCUUGGACUACUACCCACGUGACUGCACGAGUGCUCUAGAGUUCUGUUUGAUGGAAGGUAAGUGCUGGCGGAAUCGAGGGAUUGUUUCUACAAAUUUUCCUGCAGAUGACUUCAAAUGUACUAUAGGAGUUUGAUUUUUAUUUAUUGGAUUUCUUUCGGAAGGAAAAACAAAAAGGAAGAGAAAGAUCCCUAACACAUAUUUGAGUCUUGAA